AGGGCCGCUGGAGGUAUCGGAAUUGAGAAUGCUGACAUGAGUAGCGACAAAGAGUGUGAGAAACACUCUCGCCGAAAGCCCAAGGGUUCCUGCGCAAGGCUAAUCCGCGCAGGGUCAGUCGGCCCCUAAGACGAGGGCGACAGCCGUAGUCGAUGGGAAUCAGGUUAAUAUUCCUGAACCUGGUGGACGUGACGACCGUGAGAC
rnacentral:rRNA from 1 species